CAUAGGCUGCUCACACUCUGUGCAGGAGAAGUUCCAGUCAGCAUACAGCAUGGACAUGAGGGCCUUUGCUCAGCUCCUGGGGCUCCUGCUGCUCUGGGUUGCAGGUGCCAGAUGUGACAUCCAGUUGACCCAGCCAACAUCAGUGUCAUCACCUCUGGGAGACAGAGUCAAGAUUACUUGCCAAGCCAGUCAGGGCAUUAGCAAUUAUUUACAUUGGUACCAGCAGAGAGCAGGGAAAGCUCCAAAGCUUCUGAUCAGUUAUGCAACUACUUUGCAAUCUGGAAUUCCAUCAAGGUUCAGUGGCAGUGGAUCUGGGACAGAGUUCACUCUCGCCAUCAGCAACCUGCAGCCUGAAGAUGCCGCAACAUAUUUCUGUCUACAGAGUGAUAGUUAUCCUCCCACAGUGACACAAGUCAUAACAAAAACCUCCCAGAGAAGCAGAAGUGAGAGGCUGGGCUGCCCCAGCUUCUCUUCUACCUGCACAACUGCCUCUACUCUACACAACUUCUCAGACAGAUGCAAACUUUAA